rnacentral:lncRNA from 1 species
UUGACUGUUAGGACGUUGAGAGAAAGAACUUUAUGUUUUGAAGUAACUGAAAGAUGGAUUGAAUGGAAUGAGGGGAUAAAUUGUUAGAUUGUAUUGGGAUGUUUACCUUGUAGGUGUCCCACGGGAUCACCAAUUUAUUUUGCACCUUCGGGAGCAUUUGACUGAUAUGUGUUUCUGCAGAACACUAGACUGAUAUGUACGUCCCUCGGGGCGUUAGACUGAUAUGUACGUCCCUCGGGGCGUUAGACUGAGAUGUGUAUCCUACGGGAUCACAAGACUGCGACUGUACAGGGUGUCCCAAUAGAACUUUAACAAUUUAUUUUCCCCUGACGAGACCAGUAGAGGGUCUCUUACUGAGUAUUAUUAUACUCACCCUUCUUAUGUUUAAUUUUCAGGCAAAGGAAAUAAAGGUGGCAAACCGGCGAGGGGCAGCAAGGAAGCGUGAUUGCCAUAGGGAAUGUGUUAUUUUGCUUCCGCUUAUGAUUUCUUUUAAGGUUUAAGAUGUACUAAAACUUAGUUUACAAACUUUUAUUUGUAAAUAGGGUUAUUGUUAAGUUUUCUUGAAUAUUUGAAAAUCAGGCCUUACAUAAAUUGUUUUUAAAUUGACUUAUGUUUCAAUUUGUAUCAACCAAAGUCUUUUGUCAAAAAUUAACGAUCUCGACUUACCCAGAAAAGUUGGGUCGUUACAACUAAUAUGUAAUGUUGAGAUCAACUGAAUAUGUUUGUAAUGUAGGGACUUUGAUGAAAGAAUUGAAUAUUCAGGAAAUUGUAUGAAAAAAAAUGGUUGAAUGUUAAAUUGACUUAUGAAUAGUGUAUAUGAAACAAUACAUUAUAUAUUUUAUGAAUGAAAUGUUAUGCAAUCAAUUUGUUAAACUGGUUUAUUUAUUUUAUUUCAAAUAUUUAUUUUAUAUGUAAUAAAUAAUAAGUUAUGUUUGAAACAACAGUAUAAGGAUAUAUCAUAAUAUAUAUUGUUCAUUUAAGGUUAGUAAAAAUUUAUAUUUUGUAUUUGAAAUAUACUAUGAUAUACUGAGUACAUCAAAGAUGACAUCAUUUAUGUACUAUUGAAAAUAUGAAGUAGUAUAUAUAUGUAACAAAUCACAUAAGAUAUAUGUAUCAUGUACUAGUAUAUACGUCAUUAUUUAUAUAUACACACCUAAUGAAAAAAAGUAGAGUGUGUGGGACCCACGUAUAUAAAUAAUGAGAAAAUAAAAAAUGUUGGCCCAAUGUAAUAUAUAUAUAAAGUAAAAAAUAAACUAUGUAGGGUCCACUGCAUGAAAAUUGUGUAGGGGUACAAAAAUUCACCUCAACUCACCUAUUUUUGUCAAUAGUUUUGCAUUCACCUACUUUUGACAUAUGUUUCAAAAUUUACAUUAUUUUUUAAAAAAAGUUCUAUACAUAAUAAAUAAUAACUCGUGAUUGAAACAAGAGUGGUUAUGUGUAAUGCCCCAAAGGUAUAUAUAUAUAUAUAUAUAUAUUUUGUUUUUUAUUUUUAUAUAUAUAUUUAUUUAUUUAUAUUUAAUUUAAAUAAAAAGGAAAAAGAAAAAAUAAAGAAAGAAAGGAGAAAAAAAAAGAAAAAAUCUCUCUUUCUCUCUCCCUCGCGCGCCGCGACCCCCCCCCCGUUCUCUUCUCUUUUCCUUUCUCUUUUCUCUUCUCCCUUCCGUUUUCUUCCCGUCACAGCCCAGCCGCAACCGCCGCCGAUCCUUUCUCUUCCGUUCUCUUCCCGCCGCAGCUCAGCCGCCCCAUCCGUUUCCUUCUCUCCGUUCGUCGCGUGAACAUGUAACCGCCGGCUGUCUUCCCCUCUCCUUUCUCCUCUGUUCUCUGCCCAGCACCGCGUGACCCUCCGCCCAGCGCCGUGUGACCCUCUGCCCACCGCCCCGCGCGACCUCUGUCUCCGCGCGUUACCGUUACUACGACCAGAUCUGCGUCGUCGUGCCCCGUCCUAAAUCGUCUUUGUCUCCGUCGAAGUUUUGUUGGUAAGAUUAAAGUUAUGAAAUUGUAGUCGUUUCCAAAACAAUUUAAGUAUGGGUUAUGAUGUUUUCAAGGUGUUCAAACGUUACGGAUGGGUUAAUUGACUAAUUUGAUAAAUUAUUCUUGAAGGUGUGAAAGGUAACUUUGGGUCACUUAAAUUCACAACCAAUUUGUGAAUUGUUAAGGGUUCAGUUCGCCAGUAUUUCGGUAAGUUGGGGAAUUUACAUAUGGAGUAAUUUGAAAGGUUGAAACUAUUUAGAACGAUGUUUGAUUUUAUGAAUUGAAUUAUGUUUAGGAUUUGAUUCAUUGGAUUUAGUAGAUUGAAGAAUUUGCAUAGAAAUCGAGGUAAGGGAUUUUCUACUGGACUCAAUUGUGAUUGUGAACUGUGAUUGUGAACUGUAUGUGUGUUGAAUGUAUACUGGGGUUGACUGAAAAUAUAUAUGAAUGUAUAUAAAUUGAAGUAGACUUGACGUCGAAUGUAUGUCGUGAUUGUCAUGGAAUCUAUAUAUAAAUGUGUGUAUGUGGACAGGACGGAGAUUGUAGAUUGUGUUUGUAUGAGAUUCUCGUUUAGAUUGGGUGUAUGAUUACGCUAAAGUAUGACUGUGUGCUGGUGAACUGAGGGGUGCAUUGACUGUAUAGUGGAUUGACUGAUGUAUUAGCAUAUUAUUGACAGACAUAUGACUGUAGUAAAAUAAGUUAACUGUUAGGAUGUUGAAAGAAAGAACUUUGUGACUUGAAGUAACUGAAAGAUGGGUUGAAUGGAAUGAGGGGAUAAAUUGUUAGAUUGUAUUGGGAUGUUUACCUUGUAGGUGUCCCACGGGAUCACCAAUUUAUUGUGCACCUUCGGGAGCAUUUGACUGAUAUGUGUUUCUGCAGAACACUAGACUGAUAUGUACGUCCCUCGGGGCGUUAGACUGAGAUGUGUAUUCUACGGGAUCACAAGACUGCGACUGUACAUGGUGUUCCAAUAGAACUUUAACAAUUUAUUUUCCCCUGACGGGACCAGUAGAGGGUCUCUUACUGAGUAUUUAAAAUACUCACCCUUCUUAUGUUAAAUUUUCAGGCAAAGGUAAUAAAGGCAACAAACAGGCGAGGGGCAGGAAGGAAGCGUGAUGCCAUAGGAAACGUGUUUUUGCUUCCGCUUAUGGGUUCUUGUGAGGUUUAAAAUGAAUUGAAAUUUAGUUUACAAACGUUGGUUGUAAAUAGUAUUAUUUUAUGUUUUCUUGAAUGUUUAAAAAUCAGGCCUGACUUAAAGAUGUUUUGUUUUUAAAUUGCUUACGUUUUGUUUUAUAUUAAUCAAAGUCUUUAUUUGUUAAAAAUUAACGAUCUCGACGUACUUAGAAAAGUUGGGUUGUUACAGUUGGUAUCAGAGCCUAAGUUUUAGGUUCUGUAGACUGACUUACGAUGUAAGUCUAUGUUUUUGUGUCCCUAUGGCUAACGCGACCCUUCGUCUCUCGUCAGGUAUGCUUUAUGCUUAUAUGUAUGGUUUAUGUAUAUGACCUUGCCUAAGUUAAACUAGAAUUACAUGAAUGUUAUGAUUCAACAAGUUAAAGUAGUUGCUUGUGCUCCUCGUCAGUUGAAGAGUCAUGAGGAAAAUUAUACAACUUAUGAUAUGGAAUUGACAGUUGUGGUUUUUACAUUAAUGAUUUGAAGGCACUAUUUGUAUGAUGAAAAGAUAUAGAUAUUUUCUAACCAAAAGAGUAUAAAAUACUUCUUCACUCAAAAGAAGUUGAGUAUGAGAUAGCAAAGAUGGUUUCAGUUAGUAAAUGACUAUGAUUGUGAGAUUUUGUACCAUCUAGGUAAGGCGAAUGUGGAAGUUGGUGCUCUUCGUAGAAAAGUAUCACAUUUUGACAGCACUUAUUACCAGACAGGUUUCAUUAGACAAAAACCACGAGAGAGCUGAGAUUGUAGUUUUAGUGGGAGAAGUCACCUCACAGUUAGCUCAGUUGUCAGUACAUCCGAUCUUGAGACAAAGAAUUCUUGUGGUUCAAUUCAUUGAUCCUUAUUUGAUUGAGAAGCAUCGCCUAGUAGAAGUAGGGCAAGUUAAGGAGUUUUCCAUAUCCUUUGAUGAUGAACUUAUGUUUGAGAGAGAAUUAUGUGUGCCAACAGAAAAAGCAAUUAAGACAAGGUUAUUGGUUGAGACUCAUAGUUUCCCAUUUCUCAUGCAUCCAAGUAGCACAAAAAUGUAUCCGUAUCUGAAAAGAGUUUGUUACUAGCGUAAUAUGAAGAGAGAAAUGGAAGAUCUUGUUAGUAAGUGCUUAGUAUGUCAGCAAGUUAAGGCACCUAGACAGAAACCAGCAGGUUUGUUACAACCUUUAAGUGUGCCAGAGUGGAAGUGGGAGAAUGUGUCGAUGAAUUUUAUUUCAGGGCUGCCUAAGACCCUGAAGGGUUUCACAGUGAUUUUGGUUGUCAUAGACAGGCUUACGAAAUCGGCACAUUUUGUACCAGGGAAAUCCACUUAUACUGCUAGUAAUUGGGCAGAGUUGUAUUUAACUGAGAUUGUGAGACUGCAUGGAGUGCCUGUAUCGAUUGUUUCUGAUAGGGAUGCACGGUUUACUUCCAAGUUUUGGAAGGGACUUCAGACUGCUAUGGGUACGAGAUUGGAUUUUAGUACAGCCUUUCAUCCACAGACUGAUGGUCAAACUGAACGUUUGAACCAAGUUUUAGAGGAUAUGCUACGAGCUUGUGUUAUAGAGUUUCCAGGUAGUUGGGACUUUCAUCUACAUUUGAUGGAGUUUUCUUAUAACAACAGUUUCCAGGUUACCAUCGGUAUGACACCAUUUGAGGCUUUGUAUGGCAAAUGUUGUAGAACCCCUGUUUGUUGGGGUGAGGUUGGUGAACAUAGGUUGAUGGGACCUGAAUUAGUUCGGUCUACUAAUGAGGCUAUUCAAAAGAUUAGAGCACGUAUGCAAACAGCGCAGAGUAGACAGAAGAGUUAUGCGGAUGUACGGCGAAAAGACCUUAAGUUCGAUGUGGGAGAAAAGGUAUUCUUGAAGGUAGCACCUAUGAAGGGUGUUAUGCGUUUUGAGAAGAAAGGAAAGUUAAGUCCUCGUUUUGUUGGACCAUUUGAGAUCUUAGAGACGGUUGGUGUUGUGGCGUAUCGCUUGGCAUUACCACCAUCUCUCUCUGAAGUCCAUAAUGUUUUCCAUGUUUCGAUGUUGAGGAAGUAUAUGGCCGAUACAUCUCAUGUAGUAGACUAUGAACCCUUGGAGAUUGAUGAGCGUUUGAGCUAUGUAGAACAACCUGUGGAGAUUCUGGCUAGAGAGGUAAAGACGCUUCGUAAUAGAAGUAUUCCAUUAGUAAAGGUUUUGUGGCGGAACCAUCGAAUUGAAGAGGCGACAUGGGAGCGAGAGGAAGAGAUGAGGACUCGUUAUCCAGAGUUAUUUCAGGAUUAGAACUUUCGAGGACGAAAGUUUCUUAAGGAGGGAAGAAUGUAACGCCCCAAACUUGAAGGUAAAUUAUUUUGAGAGAAUUAUUUCGAUUUGUUCAAGAUUUUUUUUAAAAAUAUGUUGAAGGGGAGAAAGAAGAUUUGAAAAUGUAUUAAUAUAAUUAAAUAUAUAUAUGUAUUUAAUUAUAUUUUUAUUAUUAUAUAUAUUUUACAUUUUAUUAAAUAAAAGAAAAGAAAAUGAAAAAAAAAAUUUACUUUCUUCUUCCUCCCGUACGCCCAUCCCUUCCGUUCUCUCCGUUCGCGCAGCAACCGCCGUCGGCCAUCUCCGUUCCUCUUCUCCUUCCGUUCGUGCCCAGCCGCAGCCCAGCCGCCGAUCCUUUCCCUUCCGUUUCCUUCCCGCCGCAGCCUAGCCGCAGCCAGCCGCCGGUCCCUUCCUUCCAUUUUCUUCUUCCGUCUGCAGCCCCGCCGCGAAGCAAGACCGUGCCGCUGCCAGUCCAGAUCUGCGUUGCAGUUGUCCCGCGCGCCGAUCUGCCGUCUCCAUCUCCGUUCGCGAAGCAAAAUUGCCGCCGCUCGCCGAACCCAACCGCCACCCUCUCUUUUCUCCUUCGGAUCGAAACCGCCGUCCAGAUCUGCAUCACAACUGCCGCUCGUAACCGUCGGCCGGUUCGUGAAGCCAGCUGCGCAACCUUCGUUCCAACCGCUGCACUGCCGCGCGAUUCUCCAGCCACGUCUUCUUUAGCCGACCGCUGACCGACCCACACUUAGGAUUUUGCUGCGAGUCGACAGUCGUGCGUUGAGGUGUUGGGAGUAACCUUGGGCUCCCUUAAAUUCACAACAAAUUUGUGAAUUGUUGAGGGUUCAGUUCGCCAGUAUUUCGGUAAGUUGUGGAAUUUACAUAUGGAGUAAUUUGAAAGGUUGAAACUAUUUAGAACGAUGUUGAUUUUAUGAUUGAUUAUGUUUAGGAUUUGAUUCAUUGGAUUUAGUAGAUUGAAGAAUUUGCAUAGAAAUCGAGGUAAGGGAUUUUCUACUGGACUCACUUAUGAUUGUGAAUUGUAUGUCUGUAUGAUUAUCUCUGACUGAGUAAAGAUGAUGAGAUGAUAUAUAUAUACACACGUAUGGAUGUAGAUUCGGUGUUGAAUGUAUAUUGUGGAUUGACUGAAAAUAUAUAUAUGCAUAUGAAUUGAAGUAGACUUAAUGUUGAAUGCAUAUUGUGAUUGUCAUGGAAUAUAUAUAUGUGUGUGGAUGUGGACAGGACGAAAAUUGUAGAUUGUGCUUGUAUGAGAUGCAGAUGCGAUCUUGUGAUUGUCGUUUAGAUUGGGUGUACGUUACGCUAAAGUAUGACUGUGUGCUGGUGAUCUGAGGGGUGUAUUGACUGUAUAGUUUGAUUGAUUGACGUAUUAGUAUAUUAUUGACAGACAUAUGACUAAAGUGAGAUAAGUUGACUGUUAGGACGUUGAGAGAAAGAACUCUAUGUUUUGAAGUAACUAAAAGAUGGAUUGAAUGGAAUGAGGGGAUAAAUUGUUAGAUUGUAUUGGGAUGUUUACCUUGUAGGUGUCUCACUGGAUCACCAAUUUAUUUUGCACCUUCGGGAGCAUUUGACUGAUAUGUGUUUCUGCAGAACACUAGACUGAUAUGUACGUCCCUCGGGGCGUUAGACUGAGAUGUGUAUCCUACGGGAUCACAAGACUGCGACUGUACAGGGUGUCCCAAUAGAACUUUAACAAUUUAUUUUCCCCUAACGAGACCAGUAGAAGGUCUCUUACUGAGUAUUGUUAUACUCACCCUUCUUAUGUUUAAUUUUCAGCAAAGGUAAUAAUGGCGGCAAACAGGCGAGGGGCAGGAAGGAAGCGUGAUGCCAUAGGAAACGUGUUUUUGCUUCCGCUUAUGGAUUCUUGUGAGGUUUAAAAUGAAUUGAAAUUUAGUUUACAAACGUUGGUUGUAAAUAGUAUUAUUUUAUGUUUUCUUGAAUGUUUAAAAAUCAGGCCUGACUUGAAGAUGUUUUGUUUUAAAUUGCUUACGUUUUGUUUUAUAUUAAUCAAAGUCUUUAUUUGUUAAAAAUUAACGAUCUCGACGUACUUAGAAAAGUUGGGUCGUUACAUUAUGUAUGAAGGAUAGUAUAUUAAAUAUAAUAAAUUGAAAAACUUUAAUUGGUACCGUAGAUGAAAAUUUAUGAAAAAAUAUAGAAAUAAAAUAACUAAAUUAAAAACUGAAAUAUGAAUAUUUCAAAUAAAAGUAUAAAUCAACAUACUAAAAGUUUAAUAAUAAGAAAGAAAAAUUAGUUCAAUAAGGAAAGCUUGCAUCUCUUUCGUUUAUGACAGCCACAUUUAAAACUUCAUUUUAGAAUGAACUCUAAUAUUUUUUUGUUGACCAACUGAACGUUUUACAUUCAAUGGGAUGAUGUCAACUUCAAUUACUGUAUUAUUGAAUAUAUGCAUUAGUAUGUAUGUAACAAAUCAAAUAAAAUACUAAUUGAAUAUAGAAAAAUAUAAAGAAAAUGAUACAAAACGUGAAGGAAAAAAACUGAACUAUAUAUGUGUCACAAAAUACGUGUUAUUAUAUUUAUAUAAAUGUAUAUAUUGAUAACAUCACCUGUCUAUGUAGUGAUAUAUAUUGAAAUUCAACUAUAAAUUAUGUAGAACUAUAUGUCACUAAAUAUUUAUGUUGUAAAUAAGGUGUAUCUAUAUAUUAAAUCACAUCAUAAACAUAUUAUAAUUUACGAGUAUAUUAUAGUAUAUAUUGUUCAUUUAAAAAAUAUAUGACAAAUAGAAGGUAUAUAAUUAUACGAAGUGAGAAUAUGUAUGUAUGAUAUUCUCACUGCAUAUUAUAUUACACUAAGAAUGUGUAUUUUACUGUUUUAGUAGUAUUUACUAUAUAAAUAUAUAUUUUAAAUAUUAAUUAUGAUUGAUUAUGUUUAGGAUUUGAUUCAUUGGAUUUAGUAGAUUGAAGAAUUUGCAUAGAAAUCGAGGUAAGGGAUUUUCUACUGGACUCAAUUGUGAUUGUGAAUUGUGAUUGUGAAUUGUAUGUGUGUUGAAUGUAUACUGUGAGUUGACUGAAAAUAUAUAUGAAUGUAUAUGAAUUGAAGUAGACUUGACGUCGAAUGUAUGUCGUGAUUGUCAUGGAAUCUAUAUAUAAAUGUGUGUAUGUGGACAGGACGGAGAUUGUAGAUUGUGUUUGUAUGAGAUUCUCGUUUAGAUUGGGUGUAUGAUUACGCUAAAGUAUGACUGUGUGCUGGUGAACUGAGGGGUGCAUUGACUGUAUAGUGGAUUGACUGAUGUAUUAGCAUAUUAUUGACAGACAUAUGACUGUAGUAAAAUAAGUUGACUGUUAGGAUGUUGAAAGAAAGAACUUUGUGACUUGAAGUAACUGAAAGAUGGGUUGAAUGGAAUGAGGGGAAAAUUGUUAGAUUGUAUUGGGAUGUUUACCUUAUAGGUGUCCCACGGGAUCACCAAUUUAUUGUGCACCUUCGGGAGCAUUAGACUGAUAUGUGUUUCUGCAGAACACUAGACUGAUAUGUACGUCCCUCGGGGCGUUAGACUGAUAUGUACGUCCCUCGGGGCGUUAGACUGAGAUGUGUAUCCUACGGGAUCACAAGACUGCGACUGUACAGGGUGUCCCAAUAGAACUUUAACAAUUUAUUUUCCCCUGACGAGACCAGUAGAGGGUCUCUUACUGAGUAUUUAAAUACUCACCCUUCUUAUGUUUAAUUUUCAGGCAAAGGUAAUAAAGGCGGCAAACAGGCGAGGGGCAGAAAGGAAGCGUGAUGCCAUAGGAAACAUGUUUUUGCUUCCACUUAUGGGUUCUUGUGAGGUUUAAAAUGAAUUGAAAUUUAGUUUACAAACGUUUGUUGUAAAUAGUAUUAUUUUAUGUUUUCUUGAAUGUUUAAAAAUCAGGCUUGACUUGAAGAUGUUUUUUUUAAAUUGCUUACGUUUUGUUUUAUAUUAAUCAAAGUCUUUUAUUUGUAAAAAAAUAAUAACGACCUCGACUUACUUAGAAAAGUUGGGUCGUUACAGUUGGUAUCAGAGCCUAAGUUUUAGGUUCUGUAGACUGACUUACGAUGUAAGUCUAUGUUUUUGUGUUCCUAUGGCUAACGCGACCCUUCGUCUCUCGUCAGGUAUGCUUGAUGCUUAUAUGUAUGGUUUAUUUGCAUGACCUUGCCUAAAUUAAACUAGAUUGCAUGACGAUAAAGACUUGCUUAUGCUUAUGAUUAAGAUUUUGUUAAAGAGUGUUGUUGGUGGAUAAUAGGAAUUAUGCCGCCAAGGGAAGGUGUACGUAGAGGAGGUCGUAGAGGCCGAGGUAGAGGAGUAGGAGGCCGAGGUAGAGGAGCAGGAGGCCGAGGUAGAGGAGUAGGAGGCCGAGGUAGAGGAGUAGGAGGCCGAGGUAGAGGAGCAGGUCGUAAUCAGCCUACUGAGGGUCAAGCUGAACAGCGAAUUCCUGCUGCACCCGUGACUCACGUUGAGUUUGAUGCACUGUCUGCUCACAUGGAGCAGAGGUUUACAGAACUUAUGACAGCUAUAGCUCAAAACCAGCAGGCACCUGCAGUCCCACCUGCACCUGUAGUUCCCCCUGCACCAGCAGCCCCUCCUACACAAGGAUUACCUAACCAACUUUCUGCUGAGGCGAAACAUUUGAGGGACUUUCGGAAGUAUGACCCUCAGACGUUUGAUGGGUCACUGGAGGAUCCUACUAAAGCUGAAAUGUGGUUGUCCUCUGUGGAAACCAUAUUUAAUUACAUGAGAUGUCUCGAGGAGCACAGAGUUCAGUGUGCUGCUUUUCUACUGAGGGACAGAGGCAUUAUCUGGUGGAGGACUACAAUGCGCAUGCUAGGUGGAGAUGUGAGGCAGAUUACUUUGGAUCAGUUUAAGGACUGCUUCUAUACCAAGUUUUUCUAGGCUAACCUUAGAGACGCCAAAAGCCAGGAAUUCUUGGAGUUGAAGUAAGGAUAUAUGACAGUCGAGGAGUACGACCAGGAGUUUGAUAUGCUGUCACGUUUUGCCCCUGAGCUUGUUAGUAAUGAGCAGGCUAGAGCUGAUAGGUUCGUCAAGGGAUUGAGAGAUGAAAUUAGGGGCUUUGUGCGAGCACUAAAGCCCACUACCCAAGCUGAAGCACUGCGUCUGGCAGUGGAUAUGAGCAUUGGGAAGGAUGAAAUACAGCCAAGGAGCUUUGAUAAGGGAUCGUCGUCAGGUCAAAAGAGAAAAGUAGAGCAGAGAACUGUAGGAGUUCCUCAGAGGAACUUGAGACCAGGUGAUCCUUUUCGCAGUUUCCAGCAGAGUUCUGGCGGGGCAGGAGACACUAAUCGAGAGAGGCCAGUAUGUAAUACGUGUGGGAAACGCCACCUGGGUCGUUGUUUGAUGGGAACGAGAGUCUGUUAUAAGUGCAAGCAAGAGGGACACAUGGCUGAUAGGUGUCCCUUGAGAUCUACUGGGGCUGGAUCGAGCAGUCAGGGAGAGAGACCUCCACAGCGGGGUACAAUCUUUGCCACUAAUAGAUCAGAGGCAGAGAAGGCCGGCACAGUAGUGACAGGUACAUUACCAGUGUUAGGGCAUUUUGCCUUGACCUUGUUUGACUCGGGAUCUUCUCAUUCAUUUAUUUCAUCGCUUUUUGUGACGCAUGCAUGCUUAGAGGUGGAACCCUUAGACUAUGUUUUGUCAGUGUCUACACCGUCUGGAGAAAUUAUGUUGUCUAAGGAAAAGAUUAAAGCAUGUGAAAUUGAGAUAGCUGGUCGUGUGCUGGACGUAACCUUGUUGGUAUUAGAUAUGCGUGACUUUGAUGUAAUUUUAGGUAUGGAUUGGCUAGCUACUAAUCAUGCUAGUAUUGAUUGUUCUCGUAAGGAAGUUGUGUUCAGUCCCCCUACUGCAUCUAGCUUUAAAUUCAAGGGGGUAGGAACAGUAGUACUGCCUAAAGUAAUCUCAGCUAUGAAAGCUAGUAAACUACUCAACCAGGGUACUUGGAGUAUUUUGGCAAGUGUGGUGGAUACUAGGGAAGGUGAGACUUCUUUAACUUCAGAACCUGUGGUAAGAGAAUACCCAGAUGUAUUUCCAAAAGAUCUUCCAGGACUACCGCCACAUAGAGAGGUUGAUUUUGCCAUUGAGUUGGAGCCAAACACUACUCCUAUUUCUAGAGCCCCUUAUAGGAUGGCUCCUGCUGAGUUGAAAGAACUGAAGGUACAGUUACAGGAAUUGCUUGACAAAGGCUUUAUUCGACCUAGUGUGUCACCUUGGGGUGCACCAGUAUUGUUUGUGAAGAAGAAGGAUGGGUCGAUGCGUCUUUGCAUUGACUAUAGAGAGUUGAAUAAAGUAACAGUCAAGAACAGAUAUCCUUUACCCAGAAUCGAUGAUUUGUUCGAUCAGUUACAGGGAGCCACGGUGUUCUCUAAGAUUGACUUACGGUCAGGUUAUCACCAGUUGAGGAUUAGAGACCGUGAUAUUCCUAAGACUGCUUUUCGUUCGAGGUAUGGACAUUAUGAAUUCAUAGUAAUGUCUUUUGGUUUGACUAAUGCACCUGCUGUAUUUAUGGAUUUGAUGAACAGGGUGUUUAAGGAUUUCUUGGACACUUUUGUGAUAGUCUUCAUUGAUGAUAUUUUGGUUUAUUCCAAGACUGAAGCCGAACAUGAGGAACACUUACAUAAGGUGUUAGAGACUCUUCGAGUCAAUAAACUGUAUGCUAAGUUCUCUAAGUGCGAAUUUUGGUUGAAGCAGGUGGCUUUUCUUGGUCAUGUGGUUUCCAGUGAGGGAGUUUCAGUAGACCCUGCAAAGAUAGAAGCGGUUACCAGUUGGUCUCGACCCUCUACAGUUAGUGAGGUUCGUAGUUUUCUGGGUUUAGCAGGGUACUACCGGAGGUUUGUGGAGGAUUUUUCACGUUUGGCUACUCCCUUGACUCAGUUGACAAGGAAGGGAACUCCGUUUGUUUGGAGUCCAGCUUGUGAGGAUAGUUUUCAGAACUUAAAGCAAAGGUUAGUUACUGCACUGGUCCUUACGGUACCAGAUGGAUCUGAAAGUUUUGUGAUUUACAGUGAUGCUUCCAAGAAAGGACUGGGUUGUGUUUUGAUGCAGAAAGGUAAGGUGGUUGCUUAUGCCUCUCGUCAGUUGAAGAGUCACGCGCAGAACUACCCCACACAUGAUUUGGAGUUGGCAGUAGUGGUUUUUGCAUUGAAGAUAUGGAGACAUUACUUGUACGGUGAAAAGAUACAAAUCUUUACUGACCAUAAGAGCCUAAAGUACUUCUUCACUCAGAAGGAGUUGAAUAUGAGACAGCGAAGGUGGCUCGAGUUGGUAAAAGAUUAUGACUGUGAGAUAUUGUACCAUCCUGGUAAGGCGAAUGUGGUGGCUGAUGCUCUUAGUAGAAAAGUAUCACAUUCGGCAGCACUCAUUACUAGACAGGUACCAUUGCAUCGAGACUUGGAGAGAGCUGAGAUUGCAGUGUCUGUGAGGAGAGUCACCUCACAGCUAGCUCAAUUAACGGUGCAACCGACUCUGAGGCACAAGAUUGUUGAUGCUCAGAGUAAUGAUCCUUAUUUGAUGGAGAGACGUCGCCUUGUUGAAACAGGGCAGACUGAUGAGUUCUCCAUAUCCUCUGAUGGUGGGUUGAUGUUUGAGAGACGUUUAUGUGUGCCAGCGAACAGUACAGUUAAGAUUGGCUUACUAGAUGAAGCCCAUAAUUCCCCAUUUUCCAUGCAUCCUGGUAGCACGAAAAUGUAUCAGGAUCUAAAACGAUUUUAUUGGUGGCGGAAUAUGAAAAGGGAAGUGGCGGAAUUUGUUAGUAAGUGUCUAGUAUGUCAGCAAGUUAAGGCACCUAGACAGAAACCAGCAGGUUUGUUACAACCCUUAAGUGUGCCAGAGUGGAAGUGGGAGAAUGUGUCGAUGGAUUUUAUUUCAGGGCCGCCUAAGACCCUGAAGGGUUUCACAGUGAUUUUGGUUGUCAUAGACAGGCUUACGAAAUCGGCACAUUUUGUACCAGGAAAAUCCACUUAUACUGCUAGUAAGUGGGCAGAGUUGUAUUUAACUAAGAUUGUGAGACUGCAUGGAGUGCCUGUAUCGAUUGUUUCUGAUAGGGAUGCACGGUUUACUUCCAAGUUUUGGAAGGGACUUCAGGCUGCUAUGGGUACGAGAUUGGAUUUUAGUACAGCCUUUCAUCCACAGACUGAUGGUCAAACUGAACGUUUGAACCAAGUUUUAGAGGAUAUGCUACGAGCUUGUGUUAUAGAGUUUCCAGGUAGUUGGGACUCUCAUCUACAUUUGAUGGAGUUUGCUUAUAACAACAGUUUCCAGGCUACCAUCGGUAUGGCACCAUUUGAGGCUUUGUAUGGCAAAUGUUGUAGAACCCUUGUUUGUUGGAGUGAGGUUGGUGAACAUAGAUUGAUGGGACCUGAAUUAGUUCGGUCUACUAAUGAGGCUAUUCAAAAGAUUAGAGCACGUAUGCAAACAGCGCAGAGUAGACAGAAGAGUUAUGCGGAUGUACGGCGAAAAGACCUUAAGUUCGAUUUGGGAGAAAAGGUAUUCUUGAAGGUAGCACCUAUGAAGGGUGUUAUGCGUUUUGAGAAGAAAGGGAAGUUAAGUCCUCGUUUUGUUGGACCAUUUGAGAUCUUAGAGAGGGUUGGUGUUGUGGCGUAUCGCUUGGCAUUACCACCAUCACUCUCUGCAGUUCAUAAUGUUUUCCAUGUUUCGAUAUUGAGGAAGUAUGUGGCCGAUACAUCUCAUGUAGUGGACUAUGAACCCUUGGAGAUUGAUGAGCAUUUGAGCUAUGUAGAACAACCUGUGGAGAUUCUGGCUAGAGAGGUAAAGAUGCUUUGUAAUAGAAGCAUUCCAUUUGUAAAGGUUUUGUGGCGGAAUCAUCGAAUUGAAGAGGCGACAUGGGAGCGAGAGGAAGAGAUGAGGACUCGUUAUCCAGAGUUAUUUCAGGAUUAGAACUUUCGAGGACGAAAGUUUCUUAAGGAGGGAAGAAUGUAACGCCCCAAACUUGAAGGUAAAUUAUUUUGAGAGAAUUAUUUCGAUUUGUUCAAGAUUUUUUUUUAAAUAUGUUGAAGGGGAGAAAGAAGAUUUGAAAAUGUAUUAAUAUAAUUAAAUAUAUAUGUAUUUAAUUAUAUUUUUAUUAUUAUAUUUAUUCUACAUUUUAUUAAAUAAAAGAAAAGAAAAUGAAAAUUUUAAAUAUAUAUAUAUUUAUAUAUUUUUUAUUAUAAUUAUUUUAUAUAUUUUUUUAAAUAAAAAGAAAAAGAAAAUGAAAAUUUCUUUUUUUCCCUUUUCUUCUUCCUCCCGUGCGCCGCGACCCUCCUUCCCCUUCUCUCCGUUCGUGCAGCAACCGCCCCAACCGUCCUCUUCUCCGUCCGUUCGUGCCCAGCUGCAGCCCAGCCGCAAUCACCACCUCUAUCUUCUUCUUCCCGUCCCGCCGCAGCCAACCGCAGCCAGCCGCCGAUCCUUUCCUUCCAUUUUCUUCUUCCGUCCGCAGCCCCGCCGCGAAGCAAGACCGCGCCGCUGCCAGUCCAGAUCUGCGGAGCCGUUGCUCUUCCGCCGCUGCCCAACCGUCUCAGCCGGUUCUAUCUCUGUCGAAGCCACGGUUCUGCAACCGUCUCAGCCGUCUCUAUCUCCGUCCGCGAGGCAAGUCGCACGCCUCAAUCACAAACAGCCUCGCCGACGCAGGUCACGCCGUAUCGCACGAAUUCGGCUACGUUGCCGGGCUACUCCCGUCCGCGCGUAACUGCUGUUGAACGUCCGAACCGUUCUGCCUUCGUCGAUACCCACCGUCGCGGACCAGUUCGCGUGCAAAAGUGUUUUGCACGAUGUCUUUUGUGUAGAUCCUACGGCAACUUCUAUUUAACGUCGAUUGUCAAAGUCUUGUUACAAGAUAUUGGUAAGGAUGAGAUUGUUCGGUAAUAAGGUCUUACAUUUGUAAAUACAUUAAGAUGUGAUGUUGUUUAAUUGGUUGAAUUGAUCUUUGUUCUUGAAGGCGACAUCGGUGAUUUGGAGUUAGUGUCCUUGAGUUACGCCUUAAGCUUUGUUGGAGUUCGAUUCUUUACUCUUGGGGUUUGUUUGUUGAAGUUAGUUCGACUAAGGAAUUUUACAUAAAGAUCCAGGUAAGGGAUUUUCUACUGGACUCAAUUGUGAUUGUGAACUGUAUGUGUGUUGAAUGUAUACUGUGGUUUGACUGAAAAUAUAUAUGAAUGCAUAUGAAUUGAAGUAGACUUAACGUCGAAUGUAUAUCGUGAUUGUCAUGGAACAUAUAUAUAAGUGUGUGUAUGUGGACAGGAAGAAGAUUGUAGAUUGUGUUGGUAUGAGAUGUAGAUAUGAACUUGUGAUUCUCGUUUAGAUUGGGUGUAUGAUUACGCUAAAGUAUGACUGUGUGCUGGAGAACUGAGGGGUGCAUUGACUGUAUAGUGGAUUGACUGAUGUAUUAGCAUACUAUUGACAGACAUAUGACUGUAGUAAAAUAAGUUGACUGUUAGGAUGUUGAAAGAAAGAACUUUGUGACUUGAAGUAACUGAAGGAUGGGUUGAAUGGAAUGAGGGGAUAAAUUGUUAGAUUGUAUUGGGAUGUUUACCUUGUAGGUGUCCCACGGGAUCACCAAUUUAUUGUGCACCUUCGGGAGCAUUUGACUGAUAUGUGUUUCUGCAGAACACUAGACUGAUAUGUACGUCCCUCGGGGCGUUAGACUGAUAUGUACGUCCCUCGGGGCGUUAGACUGAUAUGUACGUCCCUCGGGGCGUUAGACUGAGAUGUGUAUCCUAAGGGAUCACAAGACUUCGACUGUACAGGGUGUCCCAAUAGAACUUUAACAAUUUAUUUUCCCCUGACGAGACCAGUAGAGGGUCUCUUACUGAGUAUUUAAAAUACUCACCCUUCUUAUGUUUAAUUUUCAGGCAAAGGUAAUAAAGGCGGCAAACAGGCGAGGGGCAGGAAGGAAACGUGAUGCCAUAGGAAACGUGUUUUUGCUUCCGCUUAUGGGUUCUUGUGAGGUUUAAAAUGGAUUGAAAUUUAGUUUACAAACGUUUGUUGUAAAUAGUAUUAUUUUAUGUUUUCUUGAAUGUUUAAAAAUCAGGCCUGACUUGAAGAUGUUUUUUUUAAAUUGCUUACGUUUUGUUUUAUAUUAAACAAAGCUUUUAUUUGAAAAAAAAAAAUAAGACUUACUUAGAAAAGUUGGGUCGUUACAGUUGGUAUCAGAGCCUAAGUUUUAGGUUCUGUAGACUGACUUACGAUGUAAGUCUAUGUUUUUGUGUCCCUAUGGCUAACGCGACCCUUCGUCUCUCGUCAGGUAUGCUUUAUGCUUAUAUGUAUGGUUUAUGUAUAUGACCUUGCCUAAGUUAAACUAGAAUUACAUGAAUGUUAUGAUUUAAUGGUGAAGGAUUUAAUGGUGAAAUUUAGGAAAAAUGUUGCCAUGUAGAGGUGUUCAAAGGAGUUGUCGAGUAGUAGAAAAGUAAGACGUUGUUAGCGAAAUUGUCUGUUUUGUGAUUGGAAAUCUAAGAAAAAUAAGUUAUGUAGGUGGUUUUAACGAGGACUAAAUACACGGUCAAGUUUAUACGAAACACAUUAAAUAGUUUUAGAAUGGAGGUAUUGGAAAAGAAACAAGGAAGAUGAGCAUGGUUGUCUUGAUGUGACUUUAAGAAAGAAUUUUGAGUUUCUCGUGAAUGAAAAGUUACUAGUUUGGAGUUUGAAAAUUGGAAUGUAGUUUAACCAUGGGCUAGUUUCAAGUACAAAGAGGUUGGAAUUAUCGUUUCGCUAAAAGUUAUCCCAGCUAUGAAGGUUAGUAAGUUGCUUGACCAGGGUACCUGUUGUAUUUGACUAGUGUGGUAGACACCAGAGAAGUCGAUGUUUCUUUGUUAUUUGAAUCAGUGGUGAAAAAGUAUUAUGAUAUUUUUCUAGAAGAGUUUCUAAGAUUACCGCGCUAAACAGAAAUUGGUCUUGCUAUUGAGAUAGAGUUAGACUCGUUCCUAUAUCUAAAGCUUCAUACAAAAUGGCCCCAACAGAGUUGAAAGAUUUGAAGGUGCAAUUGAAAGAAAUGUUUGACAAGGACUACAUUCGACGAAGUAUGUUAUCUUGGGGUGCACCAAUUUUUGUUUAUUAAGAAGAAAGAUGGGUCGAUGCACUUAUGUUUUGAUUGUAGAAAGUUGAAUAAGGUGUCAGUUAAGAAUAAAUAUUUUUUACCAAUGAAUGAGGAUUUGUUUGAUCAACUGCAAUAAGUCCGUGUUCUUUAAGAUUGAAUUACAUUCAGGUUAUGGCUUGUUGAGGAUUAGAGAACAGUGACAUUCCUAUGGCAGAUUUUCGUUCGUGAUAUGGACAUCAUGAGUUCAUUAUGAUGUCUUUUGAGUUGGCAAAUGCUCAAACAAUGUUUACGACUUGAUGAACAAAGUGUUUAACGAUCUCUUAGACACUUUCGUGAUUGUAUCUAUUGACGAUAUCUUAAUUUAUUCCAAAAUAGAGACAGCGCAUGAGGAGCAUUUAACAUGGUUUUAGAGGCUCUUCGAGUCAACAAAUUGUAUGCAAAGUUUUCAAAAUGUGAGUUUCGGAUGAGGCCAAGUAUCUUUCCAAGCCAUGUGGUAUCUAGAGAUGACAUUUAUGUGGAUCUCAUAAAAGAUUGAAGUCGUUACCAGUUGGCCUCAACCUUUCAUAGUCAGUGAGGUUCGUAGUCUUUUUGGGUUCAGCAGGUUAUUACUAACGGUUUGUAUAAGAAUUUUCUCGUAUAGCUACUCCUUUGACUCAGUUAACUAAGAAAAGGGACUCUGUUUGUUUGGGACAAAGCCUAUGAGGAUAGUGUUUAGGAUCUUAAGCAGAAGCUUGUACAACUCUCGUGCUUACCGUACAUGAUGGUUCAGAAAGUUUCGUAAUUUAUAGUGAUGCUUUUAGGAAAGUUUAAAAGGUAUUAUGAUUCAACAAGUUAAAGUAGUUGCUUGUACUCCUCGUCAGUUGAAGAGUCAUGAGGAAAAUUGUCCAACUUAUGAUAUGGAAUUGACAGUUGUGGUUUUUACAUUAAUGAUUUGAAGACACUAUAUGUAUGAUGAAAAGAUAUAGAUAUUUUCUAACCAAAAGAGUAUAAAAUACUUUUUCACUCAAAAGAAGUUGAGUAUGAGAUAGCAAAGAUGGUUUCAGUUAGUAAAUGACUAUGAUUGUGAGAUUUUGUACCAUCUAGGUAAGGCGAAUGUGGAAGUUGGUGCUCUUCGUAGAAAAGUAUCACAUUUUGACAGCACUUAUUACCAGACAGGUUUCAUUAGACAAAAACCACGAGAGAGCUGAGAUUGUAGUUUUAGUGGGGGAAGUCACCUCAAAGUUAGCUCAGUUGUCAGUACAUCCGAUCUUGAGACAAAGAAUUCUUGUGGUUCAAUUCAUUGAUCCUUAUUUGAUUGAGAAGCAUUGCCUAGUAGAAGUAGGGCAAGUUAAGGAGUUUUCCAUAUCCUUUGAUGAUGAACUUAUGUUUGAGAGAGAAUUAUGUGAGCCAACAGAAAAUGCAAUUAAGACAAGGUUAUUGGUUGAGACUCAUAGUUUCCCAUUUCUCAUGCAUCCAAGUAGCACAAAAAUGUAUCAGGAUCUAAAACGAUUUUAUUGGUGGCGGAAUAUGAAAAGGGAAGUGGCGGAAUUUGUUAGUAAGUGUCUAGUAUGUCAGCAAGUUAAGGCACCUAGACAGAAACCAGCAGGUUUGUUACAACCCUUAAGUGUGCAAGAGUGGAAGUGGGAGAAUGUGUUGAUGGAUUUUAUUUCAGGGCUGCCUAAGACCCUGAAGGGUUUCACAGUGAUUUUGGUUGUCAUAGACAGGCUUACGAAAUCGACACAUUUUGUACCAGGAAAAUCCACUUAUACUGCUAGUAAGUGGGCAGAGUUGUAUUUAACUGAGAUUUGUGAGACUGCAUGGAGUGCCUGUAUCGAUUGUUUCUGAUAGGGGUGCACGGUUUACUUCCAAGUUUUGGAAGGGACUUCAGACUGCUAUGGGUACGAGAUUGGAUUUUAGUACAGCCUUUCAUCCACAGACUGAUGGUCAAACUGAACGUUUGAACCAAGUUUUAGAGGAUAUGCUACGAGCUUGUGUUAUAGAGUUUCCAGGUAGUUGGGACUCUCAUCUACAUUUGAUGGAGUUUGCUUAUAACAACAGUUUCAAGGCUACCAUCGGUAUGGCACCAUUUGAGGCUUUGUAUGGCAAAUGUUGUAGAACCCCUGUUUGUUGGAGUGAGGUUGGUGAACAUAGGUUGAUGGGACCUGAAUUAGUUCGGUCUACUAAUGAGGCUAUUCAAAAGAUUAGAGCACGUAUGCAAACAGCGCAGAGUAGACAGAAGAGUUAUGCAGAUGUACGGCGAAAAGACCUUAAGUUCGAUGUGGGAGAAAAGGUAUUCUUGAAGGUAGCACCUAUGAAGGGUGUUAUGAUUUUUGAGAAGAAAGGGAAGUUAAGUCCUCGUUUUGUUGGACCAUUUGAGAUCUUAGAGAGGGUUGGUGUUGUGGCGUAUCGCUUGGCAUUACCACCAUCACUCUCUGCAGUUCAUAAUGUUUUCCAUGUUUCGAUGUUGAGGAAGUAUGUGGCCGAUACAUCUCAUGUAGUGGACUAUGAACCCUUGGAGAUUGAUGAUCAUUUGAGCUAUGUAGAACAACCUGUGGAGAUUCUGGCUAGAGAGGUAAAGAUGCUUUGUAAUAGAAGCAUUCCAUUAGUAAAGGUUUUGUGGCGGAAUCAUCGAAUUAAAGAGGCGACAUGGGAGCGAGAGGAAGAGAUGAGGACUCGUUAUCCAGAGUUAUUUCAGGAUUAGAACUUUCGAGGACGAAAGUUUCUUAAGGAGGGAAGAAUGUAACGCCCCAAACUUGAAGGUAAAUUAUUUUGAGAGAAUUAUUUCGAUUUGUUCAAGAUUUUUUUUUUAAAUAUGUUGAAGGGGAGAAAGAAGAUUUGAAAAUGUAUUAAUAUAAUUAAAUAUAUAUGUAUUUAAUUAUAUUUUUAUUAUUAUAUUUAUUCUACAUUUUAUUAAAUAAAAGAAAAGAAAAUGAAAAUUUUAAAUAUAUAUAUAUAUAUAUAUAUAUAUAUAUAUAUUUAUAUAUUUUUUAUUAUAAUUAUUUUAUAUAUUUUUUUAAAUAAAAAGAAAAAGAAAAUGAAAAUUUCUUUUUUUCCCUUUUCUUCUUCCUCCCGUGCGCCGCGACCCUCCUUCCCCUUCUCUCCGUUCGUGCAGCAACCGCCCUAACCGUCCUCUUCUCCUUCCGUUCGUGCCCAGCCGCAGCCCAGCCGCAAUCACCACCUCUAUCUUCUUCUUCCCGUCCCGCCGCAGCCAACUGCAGCCAGCCGCCGAUCCUUUCCUUCCAUUUUCUUCUUCCGUCCGCAGCCCUGCCGCGAAGCAAGACCACGCCGCUGCCAGUCCAGAUCUGCGGCGCCGUUGCUCUUCCGCCGCUGCCCAACCGUCUCAGCCGGUUCUGUCUCUGUCGAAGCCACGGUUCUGCAACCGUCUCCGCCGUCUCUAUCUCCGUCCGCGAGGCAAGUCGCACGCCUCAGUCACGAACAGCCUCGCCGACGCAGGUCACGCCGUAUCGCACGAAUUCGGCUACGUUGCCGGGCUACUCCCAUCCGCGCGUAACUGCUGUUGAACGUCCGAACCGUUCUGCCUUCGUCGAUACCCACCGUCGCGGACCAGUUCGCGUGCAAAAGUGUUUUGCACGAUGUCUUUUGUGUAGAUCCUGCGGCAACUUCUAUUUAACGUCGAUUGUCAAAGUCUUGUUACAAGAUAUUGGUAAGGAUGAGAUUGUUCGGUAAUAAGGUCUUACAUUUGUAAAUACAUUAAGAUGUGAUGUUGUUUAAUUGGUUGAAUUGAUCUUUGUUCUUGAAGGCGACAUCGGUGAUUUGGAGUUAGUGUCCUUGAGUUACGCCUUAAGCUUUGUUGGAGUUCGAUUCUUUACUCUUGGGGUUUGUUUGUUGAAGUUAGUUCGACUAAGGAAUUUUACAUAAAGAUCCAGGUAAGGGAUUUUCUACUGGACUCAAUUGUGAUUGUGAACUGUAUGUGUGUUGAAUGUAUACUGUGGUUUGACUGAAAAUAUAUAUGAAUGCAUAUGAAUUGAAGUAGACUUAACGUCGAAUGUAUAUCGUGAUUGUCAUGGAACAUAUAUAUAAGUGUGUGUAUGUGGACAGGACGAAGAUUUUAGAUUGUGUUGGUAUGAGAUGUAGAUAUGAACUUGUGAUUCUCGUUUAGAUUGGGUGUAUGAUUACGCUAAAGUAUGACUGUGUGCUGGAGAACUGAGGGGUGCAUUGACUGUAUAGUGGAUUGACUGAUGUAUUAGCAUAUUAUUGACAGACAUAUGACUGUAGUAAAAUAAGUUGACUGUUAGGAUGUUGAAAGAAAGAACUUUGUGACUUGAAGUAAUUGAAAGAUGGGUUGAAUGGAAUGAAGGGAUAAAUUGUUAGAUUGUAUUGGGAUGUUUACCUUGUAGGUGUCCCACGGGAUCACCAAUUUAUUGUGCACCUUCGGGAGCAUUUGACUGAUAUGUGUUUCUGCAGAACACUAGACUGAUAUGUACGUCCCUCGGGGCGUUAGACUGAUAUGUACGUCCCUCGGGGCGUUAGACUGAGAUGUACGUCCCUCGGGGCGUUAGACU